UCCUUGAGCUGCGGUUGAUGUGGUGGUUUGCUGUUGUGGAUGAUGCAUGCAGGGGCUGCUGGAGAACACGGAGAAGGACAGGGUCCGGAGGCUGAUAGGCUCAAGCCUCCCGUGGAGCCAUGAUUUUCCCAGUUGAUGGAUCUUUCCUGUGCACGCUGGCAUCCAGGUCGGCAACGCGUGCUGGGAACUUUACUGCCUCGAGCACGGCAUCCAGCCUGAUGGACAGACGAACGGUGACAAGACCAUCCGGUGAUUCGCUGCUUGCAAACAACAGCUAGUAAAUCGGUCACCGUGGGGGCGGGGACAUGAGAUUCAGAGAAGAGAUGCUGCUGCCUGCCUAUACUAGUUCAUAUGCUCGUCCCUGGACCAGAUGUUCAAGACAGCCCC